rnacentral:rRNA from 1 species
CCUUNCAUGCAAGAUCGAACGGCAGCACGGGGCAACCUGGUGGCGAGUGGCGAACGGGUGAGNCCNUAUAUCGGAACGCUACCCUGGAGUGGGGGAUAACGUAGCGAAAGUUACGCUAAUACCGCAUACGAUCUAAGGAUGAAAGUGGGGGAUGCGCAAGCACCUCAUGCUCCUGGAGCGGCCGAUAUCUGAUUAGCUAGUUGGUGGGGUAAAGGCCUACCAAGGCAUCGAUCAGUAGCUGGUCUGAGAGGACGACCAGCCACACUGGAACUGAGACACGGUCCAGACUCCUACGGGAGGCAGCAGUGGGGAAUUUUGGACAAUGGGCGAAAGCCUGAUCCAGCAAUGCCGCGUGAGUGAAGAAGGCCUUCGGGUUGUAAAGCUCUUUUGUCAGGGAAGAAACGGUGAGAGCUAAUAUCUCUUGCUAAUGACGGUACCUGAAGAAUAAGCACCGGCUAACUACGUGCCAGCAGCCGCGGUAAUACGUAGGGUGCAAGCGUUAAUCGGAAUUACUGGGCGUAAAGCGUGCGCAGGCGGUUUUGUAAGUUUGUCGUGAAAUCCCCGGGCUCAACCUGGGAAUUGCGAUGAAGACUGCAAGGCUAGAAUCUGGCAGAGGGGGGUAGAAUUCCACGUGUAGCAGUGAAAUGCGUAGAGAUGUGGAGGAACACCGAUGGCGAAGGCAGCCCCCUGGGUCAAGAUUGACGCUCAUGCACGAAAGCGUGGGGAGCAACCAGGAUUAGAUACCCUGGUAGUCCACGCCCUAAACGAUGUCUACUAGUUGUCGGGUUUUAAUUAACUUGGUAACGCAGCUAACGCGUGAAGUAGACCGCCUGGGGAGUACGGUCGCAAGAUUAAAACUCAAAGGAAUUGACGGGGACCCGCACAAGCGGUGGAUGAUGUGGAUUA